AUACAUCUCCAGAGAACUCCCUCCCAACCAAAUCAAGCAAAAAAGAGAGGGAAGCAGGAGCGUAAGUUUGUUUGAAUGGGUUUCGGCUGACUAGAAUGGAGAUACUUUGAAGAAUAUUGUCAUGUGCUUCAUCGAUUAGACCAUGAACUUCAAGGCAUUUUCCUCUGCCACUAAGUACCCUCAAGGAGAGCCGCUUUCGGAUGAGCUCCCAUUUCAUAUAUAUGCAAUUCGUAAAUAAUCCAGACUCCUUAACUUCCACAGCAAGACAAAACCCGCACUUCAUUUUGUUGCAAAUGCAUGUUACUUCACCAGUCAAAUCCACUUUGCUGUUCCUUAUUUGGGAGAGUGACUUCCCUUGGCCAACAGUAUCAGACAAAUCACACUCAUAGUUGCCAUUGAAAUAUUUUGAAAGGACAAGCAACUCAGUAGUACUGCUUACAUUUUGGUUCUGAGAAGAACGAUAUCUAGAACGAGUUAGUCUUGUAUUACACUCAGUCAUAGAAGAUUGCUCCUUUGGUAAAGAUCUUUUAGUAUUCUUAGUCUGCCUGCACUUUCUAGUUUUCACUUUGGCAUUUGGCCUUGACCUUGUGGAAAAAGAAUCCAUUGUAUCUGGAUUAGCUGUGGAAGAACAAGGGCACUUAUUUGCCAUUCCAUCUUCAACCUCUUCAGGACAACUAAUAGCGUUUUUCCACACAGAAAGGUUCAAUUUGUCUAGGGAUGAUUUAUACAAUCUUUCAGCAAGAGAUAACCUCUCCAUUGAAACAUUCCUCGCAUAAGAAAUACAAUUUCGUGAUAAAUCAGCACGCUGCUGAUCAACAGUAAUUUCCUGAACCAAUCUGCACUUCGGGCAAGAAAAAGCAGAGCCAUUAAGCGCUAAAGUCUGUUUGGCACUUUGAAGUUCCUUCUCAGACUGAUCCCAAGACCUUUUCUUGCGAUAUAGUUUUCCUAAAACUGAAGAGAAGGCAACUGUAAACAAUGACAAGCUUUGUUGGCAGGAGAUGUUUUUUCCCCACAGCAGAAAUGUUUCAGCCUCAGCUCCAUUUCCAAUUAUUUCAUGGACAAUUCCAACCUGAAGAGUGCUUUCAAGAUAACACUGAAGUAUUUUCCAUGGACUAAUAUAACAGACUUCAAAAUCUGAUGAAAUGGUAUCAGAGUACCAAACUUCACUAACAACCGAUUUGUUCACGCGUAGAUUGCUAAAACCAUAUGCAAGCUUUGGCGCAUGAUCCCCAGCUUCAACGUGCUUUUCAGCUUGCUGCUCAACAGAGUAUGUAAAUUUCUCUUGGAAGAGUUUAGUACGCAAUCGGUGGGCUUCUUUUGCAUAAUAAAGAGCCUCAAAUAACUGUCCGCUUGCAAUAAGUUUUUCACACAAAUCAUAGUAAAGGCAUCCGGCAAAGAAAACAGAAUAGCAGGUCAUAGGAACUCUUGAAAUGAGUUCAUAAGCAGCCUGUUUAACAUCAUCAACUGUGAUAUCAGAUUGAAAAGAAGCUCCAUGAUCACAAGAGUCGCAGGAAAU
rnacentral:misc_RNA from 1 species